GACGAACGCUGGCGGCGUGCCUAAUACAUGCAAGUAGAACGCUGAAGAGAGGAGCUUACUCUUCUUGGAUGAGUUGCGAACGGGUGAGUAACGCGUAGGUAACCUGCCUUGUAGCGGGGGAUAACUAUUGGAAACGAUAGCUAAUACCGCAUAACAAUGGAUGACACAUGUCAUUUAUUUGAAAGGGGCAAUUGCUCCACUACAAGAUGGACCUGCGUUGUAUUAGCUAGUAGGUGAGGUAAUGGCUCACCUAGGCGACGAUACAUAGCCGACCUGAGAGGGUGAUCGGCCACGCUGGGACUGAGACACGGCCCAGACUCCUACGGGAGGCAGCAGUAGGGAAUCUUCGGCAAUGGGGGCAACCCUGACCGAGCAACGCCGCGUGAGUGAAGAAGGUUUUCGGAUCGUAAAGCUCUGUUGUAAGUCAAGAACGGGUGUGAGAGUGGAAAGUUCACACUGUGACGGUAGCUUACCAGAAAGAGACGGCUAACUACGUG
rnacentral:rRNA from 1 species